AAGUAGCGUUAAGGAUAGCAGUGGAAAUCCUUUUUUAGUGUCACAUUGAGCGCAGUCGAAAUGUUUCUGACACUAAAAAAGAUUGUAACGAAUAGCCUGUUAAAAC
rnacentral:sRNA from 1 species